AACGAACGCUGGCGGCAGGCUUAACACAUGCAAGUCGAGCGAGACCUUCGGGUCUAGCGGCGGACGGGUGAGUAACGCGUGGGAACGUGCCCUUCUCUACGGAAUAGCCCCGGGAAACUGGGAGUAAUACCGUAUACGCCCUUUGGGGGAAAGAUUUAUCGGAGAAGGAUCGGCCCGCGUUGGAUUAGGUAGUUGGUGGGGUAAUGGCCCACCAAGCCGACGAUCCAUAGCUGGUUUGAGAGGAUGAUCAGCCACACUGGGACUGAGACACGGCCCAGACUCCUACGGGAGGCAGCAGUGGGGAAUCUUAGACAAUGGGGGCAACCCUGAUCUAGCCAUGCCGGGUGAGUGAUGAAGGCUUUAGGGUUGUAAAGCUCUUUAAGCUGGGAAGAUAAUGACGGUACCAGAAGAAGAAGCCCCGGCUAACUCCGU
rnacentral:rRNA from 1 species